rnacentral:rRNA from 1 species
AGAGUUUGAUCAUGGCUCAGAAUGAACGCUGGCGGCGUGCCUAACACAUGCAAGUCGAGCGAGAAAGCUUCUUCGGAAGUUAGUACAGCGGCGAACGGGUGAGUAACGCGUGGGAAUCUGCCCUUUAGUGAGGAAUACCCUCGAGAAAUUGAGGUUAAUACUGCAUAAGUCCCUUCGGGGAGAAAGAUGGCCUCUUUGCUGUCGCUAAAGGAGGAGCCUGCGUACUAUUAGCUAGUUGGUGGGGUAAUGGCCUACCAAGGCGAGGAUGGUUAGUCGGCCUGAGAGGGUGUACGACCACACUGGAACUUAGACACGGUCCAGACUCCUACGGGAGGCAGCAGUGGGGAAUAUUGCGCAAUGGGCGAAAGCCUGACGCAGCGACGCCGCGUGGAGGAUGAAGGUUCUAGGAUUGUAAACUCCUGUUAAGCGGGAAGAAAUGUCUGGGGUUAAUACCCCCAGGCUCUGACUGUACCGCUAGAGAAAGCACCGGCUAACUUCGUGCCAGCAGCCGCGGUAAUACGAGGGGUGCGAGCGUUAUUCGGAAUUAUUGGGCGUAAGGGGUGUGUAGACGGCUUUUUAAGUCAUUUGUGAAAUUCUUCGGCCUAACCGAAGGGGGUCAAGUGAUACUGAUUGGCUUGAGGGUGGAAGAGAGAAGUGGAAUUCUCGGAGUAGCGGUAAAAUGCGUAGAUCUCGAGAGGAACACCGAUGGCGAAGGCAGCUUCUUGGUCCAUACCUGACGUUGUGGCACGAAAGCGUGGGGAGCAAACAGGAUUAGAUACCCUGGUAGUCCACGCUGUAAACGAUGAUCGCUAGACGUUAGCCCUGUUUUACGGGGUUAGUGUCGUAGCUAACGCGUUAAGUGAUCCGGCCUGGGGAUUACGGUCGCAAGACUAAAACUCAAAUGAAUUGACGG